rnacentral:tRNA from 1 species
UCCCUAGUGGCUCAGUUGGUAAAAAAUCUGCCUGCAAGGCAGGAGACCUGGGUUUAAUCCCCAGGUAGGGAA